CCUGUGUGGGCUGUAAGGGCUUGUGGGGUGAGUGUCUGUCCUAAGCUUGCCUACAGAGGAGGAUGUGGGAAGCCAUCACUGGGUUCCAAAGCCUCUGCACAGGGGAAGCACACAGCAGUACCUCUGCCAGGCUGCUGCCACCCUCCUCUCUUGGUAAACAUCUCCUCCCGCCUAGGUGUAGGGACACAUUCUGAUGAAGGGUGGAGGCGGCUUCUCCAAAGGCGGGGAAGGCUCACAGUCCUUAAUUUGUCACCUGUCUUUGAGACCAGAAAGGAUCAGUAACGUUUCUUAACCUUGAAAUUCCUCGCUAUACCAACUCCAAACCUAGGUGACUUCACUGUGGUUGUCAUCUCCUGGCGACGCCCUCUCUGGCAAGUGGGUGAGGCUCCCAUAAAGAGCUGCCCUGAUUCUUACACUUCAGCUUUGCCUGCUAAACUGCCAGGUGCCCCCCACCCCCCGCUGAGGCAGGGAGGUUGGCAGAGUGUGGGACAAGAGACCAGUGCGGCUACAUCCUGCCUACUCCCCCCAGCUGUGUGUGUGGGAGCUACAGGGAGCCUUGGCAGUUGUUCCAGAUUGUGGUUGCUGUCCGUGAGUCCUGCCCUGUCCCUUUCUGGUGGGCUUCUGAGCAGACCUUUGGUUCCAGGAGGAGGCGUCAUGGGAGCGGCUGGACGGAAUGCAGCCCACAUAGUCUUUAGGGACCUCAAGAACAUGUGAUGCUGGACCAGCUCUGAGCCCAAGGAGAAAAGUUUUCCCUGCACUUUGAGCCGCCUAGCAGGCCAUCUUCCCAUGAUGCCCUGCUUCCCAUGAUGCCACUGGAGACAACUGCACUAGCAAGGCGCCACUGUUUCUUAAUCAAGGACUCAGUUACAUUUAACACAAUCUCACCCGUGCCCUUGGAUUAGCUGGUUUUGUCUGGUUAAAAACAAUGUUUUGUAUAAAG
rnacentral:lncRNA from 1 species